CUCUGGGAGGCGGAGCAUGCGCAGGACAGCCCUAGGAAGCACGCUUUGCGGGUGUGUGGGCAAUGCUCCGCUGGGCGCGAGCGUGGAGGGUCCCCCGUGGGACACUUGGUGCCUCCUCUCCCAGGUGCUCGGUGGUGCCUGUAGCGUUCAGUAGCCGAAGUGGCCAAGGAAAUGCCGAUCCCAGGCCGUUGCCGCUGUCCUAUACGCUUCUAGAUGGAGAGGAAACACUCCCAGCCGUCGUCUUUCUGCACGGACUCUUCGGCAGCAAAACCAACUUCAACUCUAUCGCCAAGGCUAUGGUUAAGAGGACCGGCAGGAGGGUGCUGAUGGUGGAUGCCCGGAACCAUGGUACCAGCCCCCACAGUCCAGAUGCAAGCUAUGAGGCCAUGAGUCAGGACCUUCAGGGACUCCUGCCACAGCUGGGCCUGGUGCCCUGUGUCCUCGUUGGUCACAGCAUGGGAGGAAAGACAGCCAUGCUGCUGGCACUACAGAGGCCAGACAUUGUGGACCGAUUGGUGGCUGUAGACAUAAGCCCGGUAGGAGCCACACCAGGAUCAUACCUUGGGAACUUUAUAGCAGCUAUGAAGGCCGUCCAUAUCCCAGAGAAGGUGCCGCACUCCCAGGCUCGGAAGCUGGCCGACGAACAGCUAACCUCCCUUGUCAAGGACCCAGGGAUUCGCCAGUUCCUACUCACAAACCUGGUGGAGGUAAAUGGCCGCUUCUCCUGGAGGCUGAACUUGGAUACUUUAGCUCAGCACUUGGACAAGAUUUUGACCUUCCCAGAGCUACGUGAAUCCUAUCGAGGGCCAACUCUCUUUCUGCUUGGUGGAAAUUCUAGAUAUGUUCAACCCAGCCACCACCCGGAGAUUAGGCGGCUCUUUCCUCAAGCCCAGAUCCAGACUGUGCCCAACGCUGGGCACUGGGUCCACAGUGACAAACCUCAAGACUUCAUGGAUGCUGUCUGCAGUUUCUUGGCAUAAGAAGUGGCUCCUUGAACAGUCGGGGAACUCUAGGCGUGGUGUCCAUGCCACCUGUCCCUUGCUUCUGCACAGAAAAACUAAGAGCACCCCUGGAGUCUCCCUGCAUUUGACUCUGCACCCGCUCCCGAACCAUCCGUUGCAUGUCUUCCUGGGUAGAGGAGAGAGAACUGGUUCAAGGGGAUCCCUGAGGACUCAGGAAUGUCUUCCAAGCUCCCAGCACAGAGAUAGCUCAGUGGCUAAGUGCCCUUGUUGCAGCAUCCAUGGAAGAUGGCUCACAGCUGCUUGUAAUUCCAGCUCCAGGGGAUCCCAUGCCCUCCUCUGGGCACACAUGAACUAAGAAAUUACUAUACAGGCUGGUCUAGGGUUUGGCUGCCACCAUCUGCAAGGCUUCUGAAGGGAAAGCAGCUGGACAGUGGAGCUGCUUACCCUGGCUAUCCUGGAACUUACCCUAUAGACAAGUCAGGUUUGGAACUCAGGUCUACCUGCCGCUGCCUCUGAGUGCUGAGAUUAAAGGCACGAACUGCCACCGCCCUGACCUGAAGGUGGCAGAAGCCCCAACGGAGACCCCAUUGCCCUGGUGUGUGAGAGGCCCAGGCACUUGGCAUUUCCCAAGGUUUCUUUAAAAUAUCCGCUCAUCUGAUCCUACACAUGUUUUCUACCCACUCUAUUGACACUUCUGGAAUGAAGGGACACAGGCCUGUAAUCCCAGCACUGGGGAGGUAGAGGCCAAAGGAAAAGGAGGGUCAUUCUUGGUUAUCAAGCAAGUAACCAAGGCAAAGGCCAUGCCAGGCAUGGUGGCACAUAUUUUUUUUGUUUGUUUGUUUGUUGUGUUUGUUUUUCGAGAUAGGGUUUCUCUAUAUAGCCUUGGCUGUCCUGGACUCACUUUCUAGACCAGGCUGGCCUUGAACUCAGUGUUCUCCCUGCUUCUGCCUACAUGCUCGGCUGUGGUGCACAUCUUUUAUGCCAGCAUUCAGGAGGCAGAGGCAGGCAGAUCUCUGUGUUCAAGGCCAGCCUUGUCUACAGGACAAGUUCCAGGGCAGCCAAGGCUACACAGAGAAACCAGAAAAAAAGGGAGGAAGGAAGGGAGGGAGGGAGGAACAGAGGAUGGAGGGAAAGAAAGAAAGAGAAAGGAAGGAAGGAAGAAAAAAGAAAAGAAAAAGGUAGAGGCUAGCCUCAGGUAAAUGAGACUCCAUCUCUACUGAUAGCUUUCCCAUGAAGCUGUGAUAGAGACCUCAAAAAAAAAAAAAAAAAAAAAAAAAAAACAAAACAAAGCCCACAAAACAACAACAACAAAUACCCACACUCAGUCCAAUUAUCCUUUACCCUGCCUGAUUUCCCUCCUUCUGUCCUGUGAGAUACUCACCCUAAGUAGCCUUGGCUGUUCUGGAACUCCCUAUGUAAAUAAGGCUGACUUUAAACUUGCUCUAUCCACCUGCAUUUGCCUUCCCAGUGUUAGGAUUACAAAUGUGAGCCACACAGAGCUUUCUUUUAAUUUUAAGUAUAUGUGUAUUUUGUCUGAUGCCCAUGGAAGCCAGAAGAGUUGUCAGAACCCUUGAGCUAACUUUCUGGGAGAUGAGAACCAAACCCAAGUCUUCUGAAAGAACAGCAGGUAUCCAUCCAUUCAUCCAUCCAUCUAACCAUCUGUCUGUCUGCCCAUCCAUCCAUCCAUCAUCCAUCUAACCAUCUGUCUGUCUGCCCAUCCAUCCAUCCAUCCAUCCAUCAAUCAUCCAUCUAACAUCUGUCUAUCCAUCCAUCCAUCUAUCUAUCCAUCCAUCCGUCUGUCUGUCCAUUCAUCCAUCCAUCAUCCAUCUAAACAUCUGUCUAUCCAUUCAUCCAUCUAUCUAUCCAUCCAUCCAUCUGUCCGUCCAUCCAUCCAUCCAUCAUCCAUCUAAACAUCUGUCUGUCUAUCCAUUCAUCCAUCUAUCCAUCCAUCCAUCUGUCUGUCCAUCCAUCCAUCCAUCCGUCUGUCUGUCCAUUCAUUCAUCUAUCCAUCAUCUAUCUAACCAUCUGUCUGUCUAUCCAUCCAUCCAUCCAUCCAUCUGUCUGUCCAUCCAUCCAUCUAUCCAUCCAUCCAUCCGUCUGUCUGUCCAUCCAUUCAUCUAUCCAUCAUCCAUCCAUCCGUCUGUCUGUCCAUCCAUUCAUCUAUCCAUCAUCUAUCUAACCAUCUGUCUGUCUAUCCAUCCAUCCAUCCAUCCGUCUGUCCAUCCAUUCAUCCAUCCAUUCAUCCAUCCAUCCAUCCAUCCAUCCAUCCAUCUAUCUUCAUGACAGGGUUUCUCUGUCAUGAAGGUAGGGCUUCCCUGGGUAGUCCUGGCUGUUCUGGAACUCACUCUGUAGACCUUCGAAUUCAGAGAUCCACCUGCUGAGUGCUGAGAUUAAAGUCGUGUGCCACCUC